rnacentral:lncRNA from 1 species
UCCCUCCCUACCUCUCACCGUGCACGCGCCGACGCCGGCCAACAGCAGCAACUGCUCUCCUCGCCACGCCCGCGUCCACGCGUCGCCGUCGCGCGACGGCAUCACAACCGUUGCCGGAUUCGAUCCCACCGCCGGCGUGUCGCCGUCGCCCUUCGUUCGGCCGCCGACGUCGUUUCUUCCAAAAUUCGUCGCCGUCGAUGGCUCUUCUCCAAAAUUGAGGUCGCAAUCACCAUCCUUAUGCCACCCUUUCCCUCUUUCCCCUGUCCUCCCUGCGCCGCCGGAGCCCGCCGCACCCUGUUCGGCCGCCGAAGGCCGCACCCCGCACCGCCACUCUAGGC